rnacentral:sRNA from 1 species
GGGAGCUCUUAAGAAUACUAAUACCGGCCAGGCGCGGUGGCUUACGCCUGUAAUCCCAGCACUUUGGGUGGCUGAGGCAGGCGGAUCACAAGGUCAGGAGAUCAAGACCAUCCUGGCUAACACGGUGAAACCCCACCUCUACUAAAAAUACAAAAAAUUAGUCAGGCGUGGUGGUGGGCACCUGUAGUCCCAGCUACUCAGGAGGCUGAGGCAGGAGAAUGGCGUGAACCCGGGAGGCGGAGCUUGCAGUGCGCCGAGAUCGCGCCACUGCACUCCAGCCUGGGCAACAGAGCGAGACUCUGUUUCAAAAAGGAGAAGAAGAAAAAGAAUACUAAUGCCUUGGCUCUAUACCCAGAAUUUUUUUUUCCUUUUCCUUUUUUUUUUUUUUUUUUCCCGGAGACAGGGUCUUACUCUGUCACCCAGAAUGAAGUGCAGUCGUGUGAUCCUAGCUCACUACAGUGCAGAACUCCUGGGCUCAAGGGAGCCUCUCUAGUAUUUGAGACUAUAGUUGUGUGCCCACUUCCAGCGAAUUUUUAAACAUUUUUAAAAACUGUUUAUUAUUAUUAUCUUUAUUUUUGAGAUUUAUUUUUGUAAUUCCAAAGUGCUGGGAUUAUGGGUGUGAGCCACCGCGCCCGGCCGCCUAGGCUGGUCUUGAACUCCUGGCCUCCUCAAGUGAUCCUCCCAUCACAGCCUCCUGAGUAGCUGGGAUUAGAGGCACUAGCCACUGCCCCAGCUAUCCCCAGAAAUUCUAAUUUAGUUUGGCAUCAAUACAGUUUUAAGAGUAUUCCAGAUGAUUUAUAAUGUGCAGUCAGGCAUCGUCUUAAGAAAAAGAGGCAUCAUCAGACAGGGUGUAUGCCAAAAAAAAAAAGAAAAAAUAAUCGAAUAAUCUGCAGAGGGUGGUGUUUGGAGACUGGCAGCUGGGUCCCCUCUGGAGUGGCCCUGGGGAGUGACACACAGAGGCAGCGUCCCAGAACCAUUUUGGCCCACUGCAUUAAUGCCCUCACCCCCUCCUGCAGGGUUGUGCAAUAGCGAAGCAGCUGGGUGCAGAAAUCUACCUGGAAGGCUCGGCUUUCACCUCAGAAAAGAGCAUCCACAGCAUCUUUCGGAUGGCAUCCAUGCUGUGUCUGAACAAGCCUAGCCCACUGCCCCAGAAGAGCCCUGUCCGAAGCCUCUCCAAACGACUGCUCCACCUCCCCAGUCGCUCUGAACUCAUCUCUUCUACCUUCAAGAAGGAAAAGGCCAAAAGCUGUUCCAUUAUGUGAAGUGGAAAUUGGAGGGGGGAGACAACCCCCUACUUCCUCCCUUGGGGUGCAGAGGCACGGGGAGAGGGAGGAUGAGACAAUUUAGGACACUGGACAUGAGUUUUUCAGAUGGCCACGGUGAGGGCUUGGAAGGAGACAGGAAUGGGGCGAGGAAGGAGCCAGGCCCGGCAUGAGGACCUGACACUGAGAGAGAACCAUCAUACCCCAAGCCAGGCACUAGAUUGUGGAGGGGCGACUACCCCAGUGCCCCGCCCCCGCUCCAGAGGAAGGAAAGCUGUGGGGGAUGGGGGGCAUGCUGGCCUCAUGGGCUUGGGGGCCUACAGCAGCCUCACCUUCAGCAUCAUGCCUCUUCCACACAGCGUUUCCAUGCAGGUCAGGGGAUGGGAGGGGUCCCUAAGCCCUUCCCUUCCCCUCUAAGGAGGCAGCAAUGGAGAGUGGGGAAGCCGCCGAGCGGCAGCUCCCUUGGGGGCUUAGCCCAGGUGCUUCAUAACUGCAAUUGGAAGUGCAGGAGCUGGUCAGAGCCAAUGAGAAGGAAACCUCAUCUUUGCAUAGCCCAUGCCUCAUGGAGAGGUGACAUCAUACAUUCACAUGCUUCUCACCUAAGUCCCCAGGGUCCAAGGGAGAAGCCCCAGACCCCCUUCUCUUGCAGAGUGUGGGGGUGGUGGUGCUGCAGGGGCAGGGCUGGGUGGGGGUCACCAGACUUUUUCUGCCCUUAGGGCAGUACAGCUGGCAUUUGUUUUAUAGACUCUUGUCUUUGGAAUUGGGGGGAGGGAGGGAGUGUUUCAAUCUGUUAUAUGUUCUGUGUUUAAUGAAGAAAACCUAUUUAUUAAUGAAAAAUAUAAUACAUAUAAAG